AUAUAUAUAGAACGUACAUGAUCAUACAAUCAGUUCAUAAUAAGCAGCAAACAAAAAUUAAAAAACAGGAAAUUUUAUAGUCAGUUUAUACUCAUCACAUCAGACAACCAGAGUUGGUGCAACCUGUAGAAACAUAACUAAUGGCAACCAAGAAAUUUGCAACUCUUUUACUACCUUUGUUGAUAGUCCUGCUAACACUCACCUUUAUCUCUAUGGUUUCAGGCGUGAAAACAUGUGAAGAACAGGGCCCAUGUGAGAGCCUAAAGAAAUGCGAAGUUCAUUGUAAACUAAAGGGAUACACAAUGGGGGCAGUUUGUUUACUGCAAGAAUCUACUGGUUAUAAUUCUUGUUGCUGCAAGACAAACCCUCCAGGUCGUCAUGUAUCCACUCCUCUUAAACCCUAACUAAUCAUUAUUCAGUGUGAAAUUAUGUACCCUCAAUUAUAUGAAUAAAAAAUUAUUAAACUUGAUAGA